rnacentral:rRNA from 1 species
GAUGAACGCUAGCUACAGGCUUAACACAUGCAAGUCGCAGGGUAACAUGAGGAAAGCUUGCUUUCCUUGAUGACGACUGGCGCACGGGUGAGUAACGCGUAUCCAACCUUCCCAUAACUACGGGAUAACCCGUUGAAAGACGGCCUAAUACCGUAUGACAUCGUUUGCUGACAUCAAAUAACGAUUAAAGGUUUAGCGGUUAUGGAUGGGGAUGCGUCUGAUUAGCUUGUUGGCGGGGUAACGGCCCACCAAGGCGACGAUCAGUAGGGGUUCUGAGAGGAAGGUCCCCCACAUUGGAACUGAGACACGGUCCAAACUCCUACGGGAGGCAGCAGUGAGGAAUAUUGGUCAAUGGGCGAGAGCCUGAACCAGCCAAGUAGCGUGCAGGAUGACGGCCCUAUGGGUUGUAAACUGCUUUUAUGUGGGGAUAAAGUGCGUGACGUGUCAUGCAUUGCAGGUACCACAUGAAUAAGGACCGGCUAAUUCCGUG